ACUAUUUUGGCAGAUAAGUGCGAUAAAUUUAGAAUUUAUUAAUGUAAUUUUUUUACAUGUAGUA
rnacentral:tRNA from 1 species